UACGUAGGGAGCAAGCGUUGUCCGGAAUCAUUGGGCGUAAAGCGCGCGUAGGCGGCCCUGUAAGUCCGCUGUGAAAGUCAAAGGCUCAACCUUUGAAAGCCGGUGGAUACUGCAGGGCUAGAGUCCGGAAGAGGCGAGUGGAAUUCCUGGUGGUAGCGGUGGAAUGCGCAGAUAUCAGGAGGAACACCAAUAGCGAAGGCAGCUC
rnacentral:rRNA from 1 species